CUUUAACCUUUCCUGUUAAGUUUUAUCCCGCAAUCCAUGAACCAGUUUAGUAGCCCUUCUCUGAACCCUCUCUAAGGUAUCAAUAUCCUUCUGAAGAUACGGUCUCCAGUACUGUGUACAAUACUCCAAGUGAGGUCUCACCAGUGUUCUGUAUAAUGGCAUGAGCACUUCCCUCUUUCUACUGCUAAUACCUCUCCCUAUACAACCAAG